AUAUAUGGAAAAAGAGUUGAAUCAGUAAGAAUUAAAGAUUUUGGUAAAUUUGGUGCCUAGGAUUGUGAUGGCUAACUGUUGUGGGUGCAACAUAACCAUCUCUCUCUCUCCACCAACCAAUCCUCAUAUCUCGAUUCAUUACUUAUCCUCUCUCUCUGUCUACUUUGUAUAUUUAUACCCCCAAUAAACCCCUAGCUUCAAUUCAAUCCUCAGAAGUCAUAAGUUCUUCUCUCUUUCUUCAAUCUAAGACUUUUCCUUUGGUCCUCUGUGUAUACAGUAUACACAGAUUGUUUGAUUGCUAUUUUUUUUUUUUUUUUGUGACAAAGUUGGACUUAGGUUUGAAACUUUUUUUAUUUUUUUUUAUUUGUUAUUAAUUUUUUUUUAUGUCCUUUGCUUUGCUUUUUCCCUUUGCUUUUCAUAAAUGUUCUUUAGGGUUAGGGUUUUCGUUGGAGUGCCUUGAGUCUUCUUUCUCUUUUCUUCUCUUUUGCAUGGAGUGAGUGAUGAUGAUAUGAGCAUAUAUCAGUGUCAAGACAUCAGCCGUUUGUUGCGGAUGGAGCAUCAUCAAGAUUCACAUAACUUUUCUAGGGUUUCAUGUGGGGUGGUUGUGGUAUUGAUAAUGGCCUUUUGUGGUCCCUUCUCUUCGCUCCCAAUAGCCCUUUGAUAUGGGAAUCCUGAUGAUGCUGCAGCGGCAAUUAAUGGCUUUUUUUAAUCUUCUUCUCAUCUCAAAACUUAAAACAUUCCAACUAUAUAUAUAUACACACACACACAUACUUUUAUGUAUGUAUACUAUGUUCUUUGUUUUAAAUCAUAUAUGAAUAGUAUAAUAUUGCGGUUUUUUUUUUUUUUUAAAUAGUCAUCGCAACUUCUUAAUCUGUCUGUUCUAAAUUUAUAAAUGGUUGUUAUUUUGUAUAUAUGGAUUAUCCAUGUUGUAUGUACUAGGUUUUGGUUGAGCAAUGUGGUUGACGAACCUCUGGAAUAAUAUUGGUGUAAUCUUUGUUACCUUAAGUUUUAUUUUUCAUUGUUGAGGGAUUUGAGUCACUUCACUUUACCUUUGUGUAGUUCGAUCUGCUGGACUACUACCAUCGUGACUCAGAUUUUGGGCAGAUUGAAUCUUCAAGUUCACAUAAAAGAUGGAAAUUUUCUUCACCGAAUAUGGCUGUGUGUAUGUGUGCACUUGAAGGGGAAUGUUUUUGCUGCUCUGGUUUUGGUUUUGGCAGUCUUAGGGUUUGGUAAAAUUGUCCUUUACUGUAUUUUUAUGCUUUGCUUAACUUGUUUUUUGAAAUUCAUUCCUUUACUUCUCAUGCUUGGAUCAAGUCACUAGAUAUAUAAUUUCAAUGACUGUUAUUUUUCA